AUGCGUAAACAGGAACACUUUGAAGAACUAUACAGUGAUGGCACAAGGGCAGGAAUGUGGUUAUGGCACAGGCAGCCAGCUCCAAUUCGAGGAUUCUGGAUCGUCCCGGAUAUCCUGGGGCCCACAAUGAUCUGCAUCACCCAGUACCUAUGAAUGUCUAAUAAGGCCUUUAUUAAGUACAGUCCACCCAGCAUCUCCUCCCCUCCUCUGUACCCGAGAAGAUGCUGAAGUGGCAGAGUCUCCACUGCGCAUUCUGGCUGAAACUCCAGACUCCUUCGAGAAGCAUAUUAAAGAAUCUUGCAACGAAGUGCCACCAACCCAGCAUUUCUCAAAUCAUCUGAAAAGGAUUUGGCUCCCCCUCCCGAGGAGUGUCUCCAGCUGAUCAGCAGGGCCACCCAGGUGUUCCGAGAACAGUACAUUCUCAAGCAGGACCUGGCCAAGGAGGAGAUUCAACGGAGGGUCAAAUUAUUAUGUGACCAGAAAAGGAAACAACUAGAAGAUCUCAAUUACUGUCGAGAGGAGAGAAAAAGUCUCCGGGAAAUGGCCGAGCGCUUAGCUGACAAAUAUGAGGAAGCCAAAGAAAAACAAGAAGAUAUCAUGAACAGGAUGAAAAAAGUGCUUCAUAGUUUUCAUACUCAGCUCCCAGUUCUCUCUGACAGUGAGAGAGACAUGAAGAAAGAAUUACAGUUGAUACCUGAUCAACUUCGACAUCUAGGCAAUGCCAUCAAACAGGUUACUAUGAAAAAAGAUUAUCAACAGAGAAAGAUGGAAAAAGUGCUGAGUCCUCAGAAGCCCACUAUUACUCUGAGUGCCUACCAGCGAAAGUGCAUUCAGUCCAUCCUGAAAGAAGAGGGUGAACAUAUAAGGGAAAUGGUGAAGCAAAUCAAUGAUAUCCGAAAUCAUGUCAACUUCUGACACCACCUGAAGUUAACACAACAGAAGGCUUACAAACCCGUGCUGUAAAACAAACAGGUAGCACUAUCUAAUUUAUAAAGAAGCAUUUUGGAUAAA